UGCGCAACGAAACUAAUCAGUUAUUCCUAAGCACAUUGACACUACUAAAAAAUAGUACGAUUUAAUUGAUCUUGCGCAGGCGAAGCGGGACGCAAUUAACAAAAAAAAAGCAAACAUAACGGUACUUUUCCUGUUAAAGAAGAUAGUCAUUACAAAAAACUUCUUGGCUAGUUAGAAAUGUGUACUGAGAGAUAAUUUAUGGGAAAAUCGAUAUACUGCUAGCACGUGAAAAGAGCUGGCAAAAAUUACACCUCAUUCAUACAGGGCAAUUUAUAUGUAUUACGCUUCAACAAGUUGGGGACGAGUUGAGAAUCAUAAAUUGGAAAAAAAUUAUUGAAAAUAAAAUAUUAUGGUAAACUCAUGGACAAAGAAAUAUUUGAAUAGUUAUUAUAAGUUUUCGCCAAAACCCAGCGGAAUUUGCUGCAACAAGUAAAGCAAGUUCUAUCUUCAAAAGCAGCAACAACAACUUACAAUAUUAUGUUACUGCUAUUCGAGAAUUUCGACAAAAAUAAGGAAACUAAAUAUAUAGUCAAGUGUGUGGAAAUGAAAAGAAUAUUUGCAAAUAAAACAUUAUGAGAUCUGCUCAUAAAAUCUGUCUACUCAUUAUUAGUGUCAUAGAUUGUUCGUAAAAACCCAGCAGAGCUCAAUAUGAAGAGUUGGUAGCAAAACUAAAAAAGCAUGUGUAUUCUAAGAAAGACAUUUUUCUAGCUCAAUUCAUUAGAAGAACCCAAGAUAACACAAUCCGCGAACAGCUCAUUCUGGCAGAAUAUUUAAGAAAAUUGUUUGGGAAAAACACUAUCUUUAGAAGCAUUCAACAUAUGUACAUAGAUAGCCGUGAACUCAAUGCAAAAUUACAAAGUGCUAUAAAUGAUGUCAACAAAGUACUCGCAGGUAUAAAUCGUAGUAGAAGGCCGCGGAUACAUUCAAUAAUAAUCAAAAUUAAACUUGAGGCAAAUAGGUAUCGGAAACUUAUGCAUACGAAGCGGAAGAGAGAAUCACAAAACAAAGGAAUGUCACGUAAAGCGGCAUAACCUCAUAUAAAAUUCGCGCCACGCUGCUGCGUAUGUUUGGAACCAAUAAUGCCAGAAACCGGUGAAGAAGAAACUGUACGUGUCGUAGCGUUAGAUCGCAGUUUUCACUUCGGAUGUUAUAAAUGUGAAGACUGUGGUUUGUUGUUAUCGUCAGAAGCCGAGGGUCGUGGAUGCUAUCCUCUGGACGGACAUGUACUCUGUAAAAGUUGUAAUGCAAAACGUGUGCAAAUGCUAACAAGUCGCAUGGCAACAGAGUUAUAAACAAACUUAUUACUGUGACAUAUUAUGAAUAUUAUGUAUAAUUUCUACACUCGUAUGUAAAAUUAAAAUAAAUAAAAGUUCGUUUGGUUUGCUGACUUUUUAAAACCA